GGACGUGUGGUCAUAUAUAAUGCAAAGAGUAAAUCAGAAUGAAAAUGCUGAAUAUUUGCUUUUGAUAAGAUUAUUGACAGCAUAUGCAUGAUUUUAUUGUGGAUUAAACAACAAGAUUGUAGAGAGCUAUAUGGAAUUGCUUUUUCACAAAUAUUCAACCAGUGGAGAAAGGUGAUAAUAGAACUGCAUCUCCUCUGUUUGAAGAUCACAGGUAGACUUUGGAAAUGAUGGUAAAUAAAUUAUAUUAACAAGUAUAAUCCACAAAUAAAGAAUGAAACAGCAUAGCACGCAGGUCUGUUUAAUAACUAACCAAAUAUAUAUAUAUAUAUAUAUAUAUAUACCUUUUCUGUUAGCAAAAGUUGCUAAAACAGAAAUUCUGACUGAUUUAAUUUAAUUUUAUUUGUUUUUGCAAAGGAAUGUUCUUGUUUGAUUCCCCACCUCCACCCCAGUAGUGGUACCCCUCCGUGCAGGUGGUUUAUAACGAAGAAAAGCUUUGGGGUGCAGCUUUGUGGCGCGUGCUUACUGCUGUCAGCGCCCAGUGAUGCUGUUUGGCCAUUAGGUGGCACACCGCAGUGGGAAGUGUUCUUGGGUACUUAAUACUGAUUUUUCCUUACCUCUUUAAAACUUGAGAAUAUUCCAGAAAAAAAGAAGAGAAAAUGCAACAAGCUGUAGGUUUAGCCUGCCAGGCGUUCAGCUCCUUGCCUUUCUGCACUGUAAGAUGUCCGUGAUAAGACAGCUGAAUGGGGAUAAACAGAGAGACACUAUAAUGUUUUCCUGGGUUUGUGAAGUGCUUGAGAAAGUUGGAUUCCUGCCCCCAGCUAAUGCAGAGAGAUGCACUGAUUCCUGUUGUGAGUGUGAACUGGAUGUCUGCCUGUUUUGCCCCAAAUACUUAAGCCAACCAUAGAGCAUCUCCAGGUAGGCCCUUAAAAGUCAGUGAUUUUGGGAUAGGCUUCUAGGUCCCCCAGAGAUGCUAUUUUAAUAUAAAGAGGAUUUUAUGAGAUGAAUUGUGAUAGAGAAAGCAGUAUAGUUCUUCUCCUGCCCUUUAGUUUAUUUUUGUUUUCUUUUUCUUUGUAAAUACUCAUUGUUACAGAAAGUAAACACCAGGACGUAGCAAGAUUCUGGUUUUGGUCCAAUUCUUAAUGUGUCUGUUGAUGAUCUG